rnacentral:lncRNA from 1 species
GACAUUACAGGUGAUAUAGAAUUGAAAGAUGUUCAUUUUAGCUAUCCUACGAGACCAAAUGAGAAUAUUUUCAAUGGAUUUUCCCUAAAAAUUCCGAGUGGGACGACUGCUGCUUUGGUUGGGCAAAGUGGAAGUGGAAAAUCAACUGUGAUAAGUUUGAUUGAGAGAUUCUAUGAUCCAAGUAUGGGUGAAGUUCUUAUUGAUGGCAUCAACCUCAAAGAGUUUCAACUAAAAUGGAUUAGAAGCAAAAUUGGUCUUGUCAGCCAAGAACCUGUUUUGUUUGCAUCUAGCAUAAAGGAUAACAUCGCCUAUGGAAAAGAUGGUGCAACCAUGGAAGAGAUAAAAGCAGCAGCUGAACUUGCCAAUGCGUCAAAAUUUAUCGACAAACUACCCCAGGUGUCAACAUUUGCUAUGAGUUUAAUGCAUAAAUGGUAUGUUUUCGAAUGUUUUUCUAAUACUAAGAGCUUGAUUGCAUUCAGGGACUGGACACACUUGUUGGUGCUCAUGGAACUCAACUUUCUGGUGGUCAAAAGCAAAGAGUUGCCAUUGCUAGAGCAAUUUUGAAAGAUCCACGAAUCUUACUUCUAGAUGAAGCUACAAGUGCACUUGAUGCUGAAUCCGAGCAUGUCGUGCAAGAGGCAUUGGACCGAAUCAUGGUUAAUCGAACUACGGUAAUUGUUGCACAUCGUCUAAGCACCGUAAGAAAUGCAGAUAUGAUUGCUGUCAUUCAUAAAGGAAAGAUGGUUGAAAAAGGUACCAAGAAGUUGUCUUUUCUUUUUGUUCUAUCACUCCCAUAUUGCUACCCUAUUGGGUGGAUUAUGAUCUGGUAGUGUGGUCCGUUUUGAUUGAUUAAACUAUUUUCUACACCAAUAAGUUUCUGAUCUCUUUAAGUCUGAUAGGUUGACUUUGAUUUAUCAGGCUCUCACACAGAACUACUUAAGGAUCCUGAAGGACCUUACUCACAACUUAUUAAGCUGCAAGAAGUCAACCAAGAGUCUCAAGAAGCUGGAAUUGAUAAAGUUAAACAAGAAAGUAUAUCGGGAUCGUUUAGACGAUAUAGCAAAGGAGUGUUGAUGGCACGAUCCAUUAGUAGAGGAUCAUCUGGUGUAGGUAACAGCAGCCGCCACUCUUUCUCAGUUUCAUUUGGUUUACCUGCGGGAGUUCCUAUUACAGAUGUUCCAAUGGCUGAUGAAAGUGCAUCUGUCGACACCAAAGAACGAUCACCUCCAGUCCCACUUCGUCGACUUGCACUCCUCAAUAAGCCUGAAAUUCCCAUACUUGUACUUGGAUCUGUGGCUGCCAUCAUCAAUGGUGUCAUUCUUCCACUUUUCGGGUUAAUAUUUGCCAAUGCCAUCGAAACAUUUUACAAACCGCCGGAUAAACUCAAAAAGGAUUCUAGAUUUUGGGCAUUGAUAAUGAUGUUGCUUGGUAUAGCGUCAUUAGUGGCAGCUCCAGCAAGAACAUACUUCUUUUCUGUGGCUGGUUGCAAGUUAAUACAACGGAUUAGAUUGCUUUGUUUUCAAAACAUAGUUAACAUGGAGGUUGGUUGGUUUGAUAGAACCGAAAAUUCUAGUGGUUCAAUAGGUGCUAGGCUCUCAGCAAAUGCUGCAACUGUGCGUGCACUGGUUGGGGAUGCACUAAGUCAACUUGUUGAGAAUCUCGCAGCAGUUACAGCUGGUUUAGUCAUUGCUUUUGCUUCAAGUUGGCAGUUGGCUUUUAUAGUCCUCGCCAUGUUUCCACUUCUUGGGCUUAACGGCUAUGUACAAAUGAAGUUUUUGAAAGGAUUUAGUGCAGAUGCAAAGGUAGAAUCUUAAACUAACUAAUAUGUAGGUUGAAGUGUUACUAUAAUUAUUCAUUGACAUUGUUUAUUGCUUGGCAGUUGAUGUACGAACAAGCCAGCCAGGUUGCUACCGAUGCGGUGGGGAGUAUAAGAACAGUCGCAUCAUUUUGUGCAGAAGAAAAGGUGAUGCUACUUUACAAAAAGAAAUGUGAAGGUCCAAUGAAGGCAGGAAUAAGACAAGGUUUGAUCAGUGGGACUGGAUUUGGAGUAUCAUUCUUUUUAUUGUUUGCAGUCUAUGCUGCAACAUUCUUUGCCGGUGCUCAUUUCGUUCAAGAUGGCAAAGCCACUUUCUCUGACAUUUUUCGAGUAAGUACCUGUUGAACUGAUGAUCCUUUCUUUCUUUCGUAAUCGACAACACAAGCCUUGUUUAUUAGUUGCUAGUUAGUAAUCAUAAAUGUCAUUGGCAGGUUUUCUUUGCUUUGACAAUGGCUGCUUUUGCCAUUUCUCAAUCAAGUUCACUUGCACCUGAUUCUACCAAAGCAAAAGAAGCCACUGCUUCCAUAUUUUCCAUGAUUGAUCGUAAAUCAGAAAUCAAUCCGAGUGUUGAAACAGGCGAAACAUUGGAAAAUUUUAAGGGUGAGAUCGAGUUUCGACAUGUAAGUUUCAAGUAUCCUUCUAGACCAGAUGUUCAAAUUCUUCGAGACCUCAGCUUGACCAUCCGAUCUGGGAAGGUAUAUAUUUUUUACUUUUCCUAUUACUUUAAUUUUAAUUUUUAUCUGAAAAAUCUAUGUGCAAGUUUUCAUUUUGGUUUCUCUAUGGGCUUCCUUUUUUCUAGACUGUUGCUCUAGUUGGAGAAAGUGGUUGUGGAAAAUCCACUGUCAUCUCUCUAUUACAAAGGUUUUAUGAUCCUGAUUCUGGUAGCAUAACACUUGAUGGAAUUGAGAUUCACAAGUUUCAAGUUAAAUGGUUGAGACAACAAAUGGGUUUAGUGAGCCAAGAACCGAUCCUUUUCAAUGACACGAUCCGAGCUAACAUAGCAUAUGGGAAGGGAGGAGAUGCAACGGAGACUGAAAUAAUCGCUGCAGCUGAAUUGUCCAAUGCUCACAAGUUCAUCAGUAGUUUGCAUCAGGUGAGAAAAAUGAAUACUUUUGUUGUUCAUCAUCAUAUAACUUCUUCAUAUAUGUAAUUAUCAUACUUCUUCACGACUAGAACACUCCUUGAUUGUGAAUAAAAUAACACUAUAAAGAGUUCAAGCACAGAACAUUCAUUAAAUAUUUUAACAAACUCAUGAAUGCAAUAUGAGCAGGGCUAUGACUCGAUGGUGGGAGAGAGAGGAGCUCAACUAUCGGGAGGGCAGAAGCAACGAGUAGCAAUUGCACGAGCGAUAAUCAAGAGCCCGAAGAUCUUGUUGUUAGAUGAGGCGACGAGUGCACUUGAUGCAGAAUCAGAAAGAGUGGUUCAAGAUGCAUUGGACAAGGUGAUGGUGAACAGAACAACCAUAGUGGUAGCUCAUAGAUUAAGUACUGUGAAAAAUGCUGAUAUAAUUGCAGUGGUAAAAAAUGGAGUGAUAGUUGAAAAAGGAAAGCAUGAUAGUUUGAUUAAUAUCAAAGAUGGAUUUUAUGCUUCCUUAGUUCAACUUCACACAAAUGCUUCAUCUUCAUCAGCAGCAUAAUCACCAUUUUCUUCAACCUAUGUUUUUCUUUUAUACAUACAUGUAUAAUCUUGUAUUUUUAUUUUGAAAGAGUGAAGAGUGUUAGUAAUUCUUUUUGUUUUUUAUUGGUGGGGGGGAUUUCUAAUGGAUUAUAUUAUCAAAUAUUGGUACUGCCCAAGUGAUGCAUCCAAAAAUACUCAACACAAGUUGUAUGGGUUAAGUUUAAUGUAGUGAAAGAGUGAGCUUAAUUCUUUGAAUUGUUGUGUUAGUUCAAUUAAAUACUACCCAAUGGACCAUUUAAUUAGGACAAACUGGGGAUUAAAAGGCAUCCUAAUUUCCCUUUUUCUUUACAAUAUUCAUAAUCAAAAACAUCUCAAUCACUUAUUAUCCUUGGAUUCUCUUUAGGUCUAUUAUUUUAUUUCUAUUAUGCAAUAUAAUAUAUAUUCAUUUACUUUAAGCAACCCAAAUAAUUCAAGGCUAAUCCUUAUAUUAAAAUUUAUGAAACAAAGCAAGUCGUAGAUGGCUCAUUUCUUUAAGUUUCUUCUUUCGUCAUAUAUAUGAGUUCCAAGUUUUCAAAAGUAGUGAAAAUAUUAAAUAGCCAAAAGAAAAUGUCCAAGUUGAGAAAAGAGAAAAAAAAAAUCUUAAGUAUGGUCCCAAAAUCUUUAUCAAAAACACGUGUUUAUGACUUAAAUAUUACAUUAGAUAACAUUAAGUUUCCUUUGCUCUUAAUCCAUAUGUCUUCAAAGAAAAUGUGAAGUGAUCUCUCUAUCUUUCCAAUCUUUGUUGUUUUGUUUAAAAAACUUUAUUCGAGAAAGAAAAAAAUUUCGAAAAGAUGAAGUGAAGCCGGUUUAGUACCGUACCAUUUAGUUUUUAGUGUUGAGUUUUUGAAAAUUAACUCUAUAAACAUUUAUUCCACUCUAAAUAUUUAGCUUCGUUUUCUACUCUUUACCAAUGUUUUCAACAAUAUAUAUUUUAAUUUUUUACCUAUGUCCCGAAAAGCAAAUCAAACCCAAAUUUGAAAACUAAAACAAAUAGUUUUCAAAACUCUUGUUUUUGUUUAGAAAAUAUAGACUUGACUUUAAAAAAUAAAAAGGAAAUUGGAAAAUUGGUUCCCAACCAAACCUAAAAGAGACAGUAUUGUUUUUAUUUUUAGAAAAUUGAAAAUUGAGCAAAAACCCAAUAAAUAUUAGUCUUUGGACAUUGAUUUUGGUUUGGGUUCAGUGCAUUUGGAUCUUUGCAUUUCUUAAUAUUCUAAGUUUGACUUUUGAAUAUGAAUUUUCAAUAAAACGAAGGUAAAAGGAAAGAAGAAAGAAGGAAGAAGAAAAGCUUUGUUGUUGGGAAUGAAGGAAAGAGGAGAUGGUAGGUUUUGUUGAGGAAAGUCCCAAAAGGGUUCUCUCUUUCUAAUUCUCUUUCAAAAGGAUAUAAUGGUGCUUUAACGUUCAUCUUUUAUCUUUUUGUUUUUUCAGGUAUUACUUUGCCUUUUGCCUUCACCUUCUUCUUCUUCCUUCUUCCUUUUCUUCUUUUCUCACCUUUCUUCUGGUUCUCAACCAUUUUUCCUCUUCCCAAUAUUAUGUUUUAAUUUGGUGCUGAUUUCUUUCAUGUGAAGAUUAUUAUUAUUUGAGCCUUUCUUCAUCUUAAAUCAUGCUUUUCAUCCUUUUUUCUCUCUUUUUAUCUUUUGCAUGUCAUCUCAACUUGUUGUUUUCUUCUUCUUUCUUCCAGAAUUUAUCAACUCUAAUCAUACUUUCUCUUUUGAUAGGAGAGAAAAGAAGUAAUAGUGUGAUUUUAGUACCAUGCAAAGCUGGAACUGUGUUUGACUUACAAUUGGAUUUCUAGUUCAAUUCAAUACUAUGCAUUACUAACACUUAAUUUAUCUUAAAUAUCUUAAAUGAAAGUUUGAAUUUAAAUUUAAACUGAGUAUAAGAACACAUUAUCAAUGAGUGUUGCCAUAAAAGACUUCAAAUUAAUCAAACAUCAAAACUAAAAGAUUACAUCUAUCAUGAUAAAUUGAGUUCAAUCACUCAUAAUCACCCAUAAAAUCCUAAACUAUCCUCAAAGUCCAAAAUAAAAAGAAAAUAAUAAGAAGAAGAAGAACAAUAAUAAUAAACUAAUAUCCUCAAAGUCCAAAAUAAUAAUAAUAAAACUACUGAAUAAAGGGAAAUAAUAAAAUCCUACUAGACGUUGACCAGAAAGAAAGUGUUUUUUCAAAAAUUAAUUUUCACUUAAACACUUUCUUAAAAAUUAAUUUUCCCUUGAACACUUUCUUAAAAGUUUUUAUGUUACAAGUUUGUUUCAUUUUCUGUCAAGAACCAUUGUUAAACAGUAUAAAGUAAUAAUGAAAGGAUAAUUGUAAUUGAUGGUCAUUUGAUGAAUAAUAAUUAAGAUUAUAAGAAUAUUUUUAAAAAAAAUUGCAAAUAUAACAAAACUAUCACGGAUAGACUUGAGUCAUUGAUAAACUCGUAUAAUCUAUAAGUGAUAUAUAAACCAAUAUUUACAAUAUGGUCUAUCGGUGAUAGAAUUUGAUAAAUUUUGCUAUAUUUGUAAAUUUUUACUUAAUUAUUUUGAAUCUAAUUGUUAAAUUUGCAACUAUAAAAAAUAUUUUUUGAUUGAGGUGAGUUUUUUCUUUUUUUGUUGUAUUAUUGAUUUCAUGGUUCAAAGACUAGUUUGAGUUUUUUGAGAAGACUCUUACCUAUUUCCAAAAGGCUUUAAAAAGUUUAAAUCCAAAUGGAUUGUUUUAAUACUCACCAUUCUCUUUGUGUGAUAUUUUCUUAGUGUAGUGUAGAGUUAAAAUUGAGGACACCAAAAAUGGAGAUAAAAAAUGGUGUAGAUGGAAACUCAAAUAAUACACAUCAACCAACCUCAUCAAGAGCCAACGAAACUGAGAAAAGCUCCAACAACAAUGAAAACCAACAAGAUUUUAACAACAAAAAUGGUGAUGGGAAGACGAAUUCAGUUCCAUUCUAUAAGUUAUUCUCAUUUGCAGAUUCAAACGAUGUUCUUUUGAUGAUCAUUGGCUCCAUUGGCGCCAUAGGGAAUGGACUCAGUCUACCCCUUAUGACUAUUGUGUUUGGAGAAUUGACAGAUUCAUUUGGUGUUAACCAAAGCAGCUCAAACAUAGUUAAAGUAGUUUCAAAGGUGAAACUAUAUGUUAUGAUUUAUGAAGAAUCCAUUUUUGUAUUCCUACACCAUGAACAAACUUCAUUUCAUUAACUUUGUUACCUCCUCAAAAUGUUGUGCAGGUCUGCCUUAAAUUUGUGUACUUAGGAAUUGGAUGUGGCGUAGCGGCUUUCAUCCGUAAGAAAUUUUUCGGUACCAAGUUUUAUUGAGUUCAAGAUAUAUAUUAUGGUUGUUUAAUUCUUUGUUUGUUUACAUGUAUCAGAGGUGUCUAGUUGGAUGGUUACAGGGGAGAGGCAAGCUUCAAGAAUAAGGGGUUUGUAUCUCAAAACUAUAUUGAGACAGGAUGUUUCUUUCUUUGACAUGGAAACGAACACCGGAGAGGUGGUCGAGAGGAUGUCAGGAGACACUGUUCUUAUACAAGAUGCAAUGGGGGAGAAGGUAACAACAUUUUAGUAUGAAAAUUAAGCUUAAAACCCCAUUACAUGUAUAUAUUCGUGAGUGAUAGUGUUUAAGAAAUUCUUAUCUUCUUCAUUCAGGUUGGAAAAUGUAUACAACUUGUAUCAACAUUCUUUGGAGGCUUUAUAAUAGCUUUCAUUAAAGGGUGGCUUUUAACACUGGUCAUGUUAUCCUCCUUUCCUCUCCUUGUGAUUUUUGGGGGUAUUACGUCGAUCAUUGUUACGAAAAUGGCAUAUCGUGGUCAAAAUGCUUAUGCAAAAGCAGCCGACGUCGUUGAGCAAACAAUCAGCUCAAUUAGAACUGUAUGUUAUAUAUUGUCCAAACAUCAUAGUUUAUUUUUUUGGAUUAUUUGUUUUGUUAUGACAGAAACAAAUCGACAAGCAAGAAACACGAACAGUGUAGAAAUAGCACAUGGCUUACAAACAAUGUGUUAGCUAUAUGGUACUCAAACAUGUUCUUUAGGACUUCUUACUCUUGAAGUUGAUACUUUAAUUCUUUGUAGGUUGUCUCAUUUACCGGUGAGAAACAAGCUGUGACAAAUUAUAAAAAAUUUCUUGUAAAUGCUUAUCGAUCGGGUGUUCACGAAGGUUUGGCCGUGGGAAUCGGUUUUGGCACUGUUUCAGCAGUACUUCUCUUCAGCGAUUCAUUGGCUAUAUGGUAUGGUGCAAAGUUGAUACUGGAUAAAGGAUACACCGGAGGCGAAGUUCUGAACGUGCUCAUUGCCGUAAUAACUGGUUCCAUGUGGGCUUUAUUUGCAUUUCUUUCACUACGUACACAUUACAAAGUUUAUCAGCUGAAUUCCCUUUUAAUAUAUACUUGCUUUGUGCUCAAUGUUUCUAUCAGGUCUUUGGGCCAAGCAUCUCCAUGCCUAAGUGCAUUUGCUGCUGGCCGAGCUGCAGCCUUUAAAAUGUUUGAAACAAUCAAGAGGAAGCCGCUAAUCGAUGCUUACGACAUGGAAGGAAAGAUAUUAGACGACAUUUCGGGCGACAUAGAAUUGAGAGAUAUUCAUUUUAGCUAUCCUACUAGACCAAAUGAGCAGAUUUUCAAUGGGUUUUCCCUAAAAAUUCCGAGUGGGACGACUGCUGCUUUGGUUGGACAAAGUGGAAGUGGGAAAUCAACUGUGAUAAGUUUGAUUGAGAGAUUCUAUGAUCCAAGUAUGGGUGAAGUUCUUAUUGAUGGCAUCAACCUCAAAGAGUUUCAACUAAAAUGGAUUAGAAUCAAAAUUGGUCUUGUCAGCCAAGAACCUGUGUUGUUUGCAUCUAGCAUAAUGGAUAACAUCGCUUACGGAAAAGAUGGCGCAACCAUGGAAGAGAUAAAAAUAGCAGCUGAACUUGCCAAUGCUUCGAAAUUUAUCGACAAAUUACCUCA